AUGGCAGAAAGAUAUCUUUAUGAUGCUCCUCAUCAUUUACAAAACGCAACGCAGUUAGCUGAUCAUGCGAUGAAUACAACCGGAAUUAAUUCAACGGUUAUACGUUCUGCCAUAAGUAAUGUAAUCGAAUCAAAAAAUAAUUCAGUUGACGAUGUUACUUAUAGUGGGCUUAGUGAUUUAGUGGAAUCUGCUCAAUAUCAACACAUGACAUAUAGGAUAGAGAAAUCUGCAGAAAAUAUAACGUCCACUCUUAUUAGAACACCUGAAAAUGGUGAUGAAGUUUUACUAAUUGUUGUAAUAUUUUUAGUUAUAUUAUUGUUUAGUAUGAUAUUUUUAUAUAUACUUUAUAAACAAAGAAAAAAACUAAAAGAAUUAUUUCGGUAUUGGAAACGUGAUAUAACACGUUCUGUGAAGAGUUGCAUAAAGAAACCUGACCCAGAAAAUAAUUCGGAAAAUGAUACUGAUGUGUCCACACAACAACCAACAGUGACAAUCACAAUUAAAAAUUUAGGAUUUGUAGGGGAUGAGAAAAGCAAAAACAAUGAAAAUAGAGACGAUUUCAAAACAGUUGAAUCAAUGUGUGUGAAUAAUAAUGCGUAUAAUGGAAAAAAAUGUAAUCUUACUACUACUGAUGUGACAACAAUGACAUGUUCGCCUUGUAAUUUAAGUACCGUAACAUAUUCUACUAACGAUAAUGGUAAAAUCGAGUAUGUCACAUUACUUGGUGCUUCUAAAUCUGACCCAAAUAAUGUUGUUGCUAAUCCUAAUGAUGAUGAUAAUAGUGAUGAUGGUAAUAGUAGUGUUGAUGGUGUUGAUAGUGUUGAUGGUGAUGAUGGUGAUGGUAGUGUUGAUGGUGUUGAUGGUGUUGAUGGUGUUGAUAGUGUUGAUGGUGAUGAUGGUGUUGAUAGUGUUGAUGGUGAUGAUGGUGAUGAUGGUGAUGAUGNNNNNNNNNNNNNNNNNNNNNNNNNNNNNNNNNNNNNNNNNNNNNNNNNNNNNNNNNNNNNNNNNNNNNNNNNNNNNNNNNNNNNNNNNNNNNNNNNNNNUGUUGAUGGUGAUGAUGGUGUUGAUGGUGUUAAUGGUGUUGAUGGUGUUGAUGAUGUUAAUAGUGCUGGUGCUGGUGUUAGUGCUGGUGAUGAUGCUGGUGUUAGUGCUGGUGAUGAUGCUGGUGUUAGUGCUGGUGAUGAUGCUGGUGCUAGUGCUGGUGCUGGUGCUGGUGUCGGUGCUGGUGCUGGUGCUGGUGUUAGUGCUGGUGCUGGUGUUAGUGUUAGUGCUGGUGUUAGUGCUGCUGUUGUUAAUGCUGCUAUUGCUUCUGAUAAUGCUAAUGCUGCUGCCAGUGAGGCUGCUUCUGCUGCUUCUGCUGCUAUUGCUGCUGCUACUGCUGCUGCCAAUGAUGUUACUCAACAUGCUGCUGCUUUAUCUGUUGCUAAUUCUGCUGUUGCUACUGCUGCUGUUGCUCUUAACGCUUCUACUAUUGCUGCAGACAUUCUCGUUUCUAAUAUUGUUUUAGCUCAUUUAAAUGCUAGUACUAUUGCUGCUUAUGCUCAGUCUACUACUCAUGCCGCUGAUGCUGCUCAUUCUGCCGUCAUUGCUAUUGAUAAUGCAAUGGCUGCUGUUGCUUCUGGCGAUGCUGUUGCUGCUGCUGAAGCUGCUUCUGUAGCUGCCGCUGCUUCUGCUGUCGCUGCAUCUGCUGCUGCUGAAGCUGCUUUGAGUGUUUCUAAUGUUUUGAAUAAUUUAAUUAAUGAUGCUGCCAAUGAUGCUGUCAAUGCUGCAGAUAAUUCUGAUUCGGAUGCUCCAAAUGCAUCAGAUAUGGUGGUUGGAUUUAUGAUAGAAAAUCAUCUAUUGAAUGGUUUUGGUCACCAUAUGCAAAGUGAUAAUGUCGAAAAUAAUGAAAAUGGUAAUAAUCAUGAAGAAAAUAUCAACGUUAGUGGGAUGUAUGGUUCAGAUGGGACGCUAAGUACUAAUACAAACCCAAAUGAAGACAAUAAUAUGGAUGAUUCUUAAAUAUUUUGUAACAUGAUGUUUCUUGUUCAGUGUAUAGCAGUCGGUGUGAAUGAUUUUAAAAAUGACAUUGAUAAUAUAUGUUAUGAUAAAAAAAUUAAGGUAGUUAUGUCUAUUAUUGGAAUGGUUUAAAAAUUUUUAAUUUAUGUAAAAGUGAACAUUAUUGUAAGCAAUUUAACAUAACAAUAUAUUUGAUAAAUUUAAUAAGUAUUUUACAUUUUUGAAUGUUUCUUUUUUAAAAUAAUAGCAUUUUUACAGUUACAUUAUGCAUGUAUGAUUAUAACUUAAUUAUUUUGUAUAAUUUUGUUUUGCAUAAAUUAAAAAACAAAUAUGAUUGUAGUUAAUUUUACGAUUUAAUAUAACAAAUAAAACAUAAUUUUAUCAAUUUAGCUUUUAGUAU
ensembl:lncRNA